rnacentral:rRNA from 1 species
GAUGAACGCUGGCGGCGUGCCUAACACAUGCAAGUCGAGCGAGAAGCUCAUCACAGAUGCUUCGGUUGAAGUGAUGAGUGGAAAGCGGCGGACGGGUGAGUAACGCGUAGGCAACCUACCCUUUGCAGAGGGAUAGCCUCGGGAAACCGGGAUUAAAACCUCAUGACACCUCUUAAAGACAUCUUUGAGAGGUCAAAGAUUUAUCGGCAGAGGAUGGGCCUGCGUCUGAUUAGCUAGUUGGUGGGGUAACGGCCUACCAAGGCGACGAUCAGUAGCCGACCUGAGAGGGUGAUCGGCCACAUUGGAACUGAGACACGGUCCAAACUCCUACGGGAGGCAGCAGUGGGGAAUAUUGCACAAUGGGGGAAACCCUGAUGCAGCAACGCCGCGUGAAGGAAGAAGGCCUUUGGGUCGUAAACUUCUGUUCUAAGGGAAGAUGAUGACGGUACCUUAGGAGCAAAUCCCGGCUAACUACGUGCCAGCAGCCGCCGUAAAAC